rnacentral:misc_RNA from 1 species
UCAAGGUACCUUCCCUGUGUG